rnacentral:tRNA from 1 species
UAAUGAGUAUAAUUUUUAUUAUUUAUUUAAAUUCUAAACUUAAUGCACUAAUCUGCCAACCCAUU